GAUGAACGCUAGCGGCAGGCCUAACACAUGCAAGUCGAGGGGCAGCACGUUAAGUUAGCAAUAACUUAUGGUGGCGACCGGCGGACGGGUGCGUAACGCGUAUGUAACCUACCUUAAUUGGGGGAUAAUUCGGAGAAAUCUGGUCUAAUACCCCAUAACAUCCUGCUCGGCAUCGGGCUGGGUUAAAAACUCAGGUGAUGAGCGAUGGACAUGCGUAACAUUAGUUCGUUGGUAGGGUAACGGCCUACCAAGACUACGAUGUUUAGGGGGACUGAGAGGUUACCCCCCCACACUGGAACUGAGACACGGUCCAGACUCCUACGGGAGGCAGCAGUGAGGAAUAUUGGUAAAUGGGGCAACCCUGAACCAGCCAUGCCGCGUGCAGGAAGACGGCUCUAUGAGUUGUAAACUGCUUUUGUACGAGGGUAAAGUCGGGCACGUGUGCUCGUUUGAAAGUAUCGUACGAAUAAGGAUCGGCUAACUCCGUGCCAGCAGCCGCCGUAA
rnacentral:rRNA from 1 species